AGUCGAGCGGUAACAGGAAGAAGCUUGCUUCUUUGCUGACGAGCGGCGGACGGGUGAGUAAUGCAUAGGAAUCUACCCGGWAGUGGGGGAUAACCUGGGGAAACUCAGGCUAAUACCGCAUACGUCCUAGGGGAGAAAGCGGGGGCUCUUCGGACCUCGCGCUAUUGGAUGAGCCUAUGUCGGAUUAGCUAGUUGGUGGGGUAAUGGCCUACCAAGGCGACGAUCCGUAGCUGGUCUGAGAGGAUGAUCAGCCACAUCGGGACUGAGACACGGCCCGAACUCCUACGGGAGGCAGCAGUGGGGAAUAUUGGACAAUGGGGGGAACCCUGAUCCAGCCAUGCCGCGUGUGUGAAGAAGGCCUUCGGGUUGUAAAGCACUUUCAGUGGGGAAGAAGUCCUGGUGGUUAAUAGCUGCCAGGGGAGACAUCACCCACAGAAGAAGCACCGGCUAACUCCGUGCCAGCAGCCGCGGUAAUACGGAGGGUGCGAGCGUUAAUCGGAAUUACUGGGCGUAAAGCGCGCGUAGGCGGUGUGACCAGCCGGUUGUGAAAGCCCCGGGCUCAACCUGGGAAUGGCAUCCGGAACUAUCACGCUAGAGUGCAGGAGAGGAAGGUAGAAUUCCCGGUGUAGCGGUGAAAUGCGUAGAGAUCGGGAGGAAUACCAGUGGCGAAGGCGGCCUUCUGGACUGACACUGACGCUGAGGUGCGAAAGCGUGGGUAGCAAACAGAUUAGAUACCCUGGUAGUCCACGCCGUAAACGAUGUCGACUAGCCGUUGGGCUCCUCGCGAGCUUAGUGGCGCAGUUUAACGCGAUAAGUCGACCGCCUGGGGAGUACGGCCGCAAGGUUAAAACUCAAAUGAA
rnacentral:rRNA from 1 species